rnacentral:rRNA from 1 species
GGAUGCGAUCAUACCAGCACUAAAGCACCGGAUCCCAUCAGAACUCCGAAGUUAAGCGUGCUUGGGCGAGAGUAGUACUAGGAUGGGUGACCUCCUGAGAAGUCCUCGUGUUGCAUUUC